GACGAACGCUGGCGGCGUGCUUAACACAUGCAAGUCGAACGGAAAGGCCCUGCUUUUGUGGGGUGCUCGAGUGGCGAACGGGUGAGUAACACGUGAGUAACCUGCCCUUGACUUUGGGAUAACUUCAGGAAACUGGGGCUAAUACCGGAUAGGAGCUCCUGCUGCAUGGUGGGGGUUGGAAAGUUUCGGCGGUUGGGGAUGGACUCGCGGCUUAUCAGCUUGUUGGUGGGGUAGUGGCUUACCAAGGCUUUGACGGGUAGCCGGCCUGAGAGGGUGACCGGACACAUUGGGACUGAGAUACGGCCCAGACUCCUACGGGAGGCAGCAGUGGGGAAUAUUGCACAAUGGGCGGAAGCCUGAUGCAGCAACGCCGCGUGCGGGAUAACGGCCUUCGGGUUGUAAACCGCUUUCGCCUGUGACGAAGCGUGAGUGACGGUAAUGGGUAAAGAAGCACCGGCUAACUACGUG
rnacentral:rRNA from 1 species